rnacentral:rRNA from 1 species
GACGAACGCUGUUGGCGUGCCUAACACAUGCAAGUCGAGCGGAGUGAGUACUACGGUACGAACUUAGCGGCGGACGGGUGAGUAACGCGUGGACAAUCUACCCUGUAGACUGGGAUAACACCUCGAAAGGGGUGCUAAUACCGGAUAAUGUCGAGAAGCGGCAUCGCUUUUCGAAGAAAGGAGAGAAUCCGCUAUAGGAGGAGUCCGCGUCCCAUUAGCUAGUUGGCGAGGGUAACGGCCCACCAAGGCGACGAUGGGUAGCCGGCCUGAGAGGGUGAACGGCCACACUGGAACUGAGACACGGUCCAGACUCCUACGGGAGGCAGCAGUGGGGAAUAUUGUGCAAUGGGGGAAACCCUGACACAGCAACGCCGCGUGAGCGAAGAAGGCCUUCGGGUUGUAAAGCUCAAUAGUAUGGGAAGAUAAUGACGGUACCAUACGAAAGCCCCGGCUAACUACGUGCCAGCCGCCGCCGUAAGAC